GAUGAAUCCAUAUCCAGAGCCCCGGUGAGUGGAUCGUCUCCUAACACUGCCGGGAUGGAUUUGAUGUUGAUGGAAGUGGCACUGGUUCUGACAGAGGAAACUAUCUUCCUUCAAUACUUUCAAUGUGAAUUAUUACCACAGAGACUAUUUUCUUCAGGUAGAACUCCAAUCCUUCAGAGUAAACUAAGCAAACCAUGGUACAGCUGGUAAGAAAAGGCUACAUAUAUCCUGGCUAAACAUGAACUCAGGGGCUCAUUCACCACAGGCUAUGCCAGUUUUGAGUCAAAGUGUUAUUGAAGCCCACAAAGUCACACAUUUUGAGCUGGGAG